CACGUAGGGGGCGAGCGUUGUCCGGAUUUAUUGGGCGUAAAGAGCUCGUAGGCGGUUUCGUAAGUCGGAUGUGAAAACUCCAGGCUCAACUUGGAGACGCCAUUCGAUACUGCGAUGACUUGAGUCCGGUAGGGGAGUGUGGAAUUCCUGGUGUAGCGGUGAAAUGCGCAGAUAUCAGGAGGAACACCAGUGGCGAAGGCGGCUACCUGGACGGGUACUGACGCUGCAGCGCGAAAGCUAGGGGAGCAAACAGG
rnacentral:rRNA from 1 species